GUGGAUUAGAUACCCUGGUAGUCCACGCCCUAAACGAUGCGAACUGGAUGUUGGGCACAACUUGGUGCCCAGUAUCGAAGCUAACGCGUUAAGUUCGCCGCCUGGGGAGUACGGUCGCAAGACUGAAACUCAAAGGAAUUGACGGGGGCCCGCACAAGCGGUGGAGUAUGUGGUUUAAUUCGAUGCAACGCGAAGAACCUUACCUGGUCUUGACAUCCACGGAACUUUCCAGAGAUGGAUUGGUGCCUUCGGGAACCGUGAGACAGGUGCUGCAUGGUUGUCGACAGCU
rnacentral:rRNA from 1 species